AGGACGAACGCUGGCGGCGUGCUUAACACAUGCAAGUCGAGCGGAAAGGCCCUUCGGGGUACUCGAGCGGCGAACGGGUGAGUAACACGUGAGCAACCUGCCCUUAGCUUCGGGAUAGCUCCGGGAAACCGGAAUUAAUACCGGAUAUGACUAUGGCCGACAUCAGCCAUGGUGGAAAGUUUUUCGGCUAGGGAUGGACUCGCGGCCUAUCAGCUAGUUGGUGAGGUAACGGCUCACCAAGGCGACGACGGGUAGCCGGCCUGAGAGGGCGACCGGCCACACUGGGACUGAGACACGGCCCAGACUCCUACGGGAGGCAGCAGUGGGGAAUAUUGCGCAAUGGGCGAAAGCCUGACGCAGCGACGCCGCGUGGGGAUGAAUGCCUUCGGGUUGUAAACCCCUUCAGCAGGGACGAAGCGAAGUGACGGUACCUGCAGAGAAGCGCCGGCUAACUACGUGCCAGCAGCCGC
rnacentral:rRNA from 1 species